CCCCCGCCACAGUCAUUUCGCCCGCCUGCUGCAGCUCCUUGGUGACCACGGUGACACCCAGACGAACGCACGUACCCAACCCUUCUGAGGCUCUGCGCGAGAUAGCAGGUAUCAGACACAGACACUUCCUGCCAAGGAGCACCAGUCCAUUCCACCAGGCUUCUCCAGGGCCCAAACACUCAGAACUUACAGCCUAUUCGCUUUAGAGGCUUGGUCAGAACCAGGAAGAUUUGGAGACGUUCUUCUCAUCAGCAAGAUUAUUUUUACCUCUGUCCCCAGCCUUGUAGGGACAUUUGGCCAUGUGUGGAGACACGUUCGGUCGUCACAUCUGACGGGAAAGUGUGUUAUUAGCACGUCGCAUGUAGAACCAGGAUGUUGCUCCAGAGUCCCCGUGCACAGGCUGGUCCCACACAAGGACCUAAAUGUGGGGGCCAACUCUGAAACCCGACUGCCAAGCUGAAUCCUAGCUCCUGCCCUCUGCGACUCUGGGAGUGCUCUUGGGAGGAGAUGAGUGAGGGGAACCAGACAGAACAAGAGGAAGAAAGGGAAACAUGAAUUUGUUCGUGUUCUCAUCUGGAGACUGUCCUCAGCCUGGUUCUCAGGGGAGCAUCAGAGCAUGACGGCAC